GAGGAGCCCAUCAAGACUACAAUCAUUUGGAUGAGCUGAAAAAAUUCGAUGAUUCUAAAAUGGGUGUUAAGGGCUUGGUUGACUCUGGUCUCACCUCCAUCCCCCGCAUGUUCGUCCACCCAACCGAAACACUUUCCGAUCUCAAAUCCGUUGCAAGAUCCGCAUCACAAGUCAUCCCCACCAUUGACCUUUCAGGCGUUGAUUCUGACAGGAGGCCGGCAAUCGUGGAGCAGGUUUCGGAUGCCUGUCGGAAGCUUGGGUUUUUUCAGAUCGUGAAUCAUGGGUUGCCGUUGGAAGUUUUGAACCGGACGAUUGCUGCAGUUAAGGCGUUUCAUGAGCUGCCGACGGAGGUUAAGAAUCAGUGGUAUCGGAGAGAGACAAGUACCGGAGUAGCCUUCUUUUCCAACGUUGACAUGUAUAAAGCUAAAGCUGCGAGCUGGAGGGAUACACUUCAGGUGAGGUUGGGUCCCGUCCCAUCAGUGGUUGACGACAUCCCUGAGAUAUGCAGGAAUGAGAUACUUGAGUGGAGUCGACAAGCUUCACAGCUUGUAGAGAUCUUGAUGGAGUUGCUCUGUGAAGGGCUGGGAUUGAAUGCUGGAAAGUUGAAGGAGAUGACAUUUUUGGAAUCCAAGGGACUCGUGGGUCACUACUAUCCACACUGCCCUCAGCCUGAUCUCACCUUUGGAAUUACAUCGCAUACAGAUCCUGGGGUUUUGACACUACUGCUUCAGGACCAAAUUGGAGGCUUGCAGGUUAAGCAUGGUGAGGAAUGGGUUGAAGUUAAACCUAUCCCUGGAGCUCUCGUUAUUAACAUUGGAGAUAUUCUUCAGAUUCUGUCCAAUGAUGAAUACAAAAGUGUAGAUCAUAGAGUGUUGGCUAAUCCUUCACCCGAUCCACGAGUUUCCAUAGCUAUUUUCUUCACUGCUGGUAAGAGAGACGGCUUGUACGGACCCUUUCCAGAGCUAGUGUCACCCGAAAAACCAGCUCUUUACCGGCAGUUUAUGCUCAAUGAUUACAUGAG
rnacentral:misc_RNA from 1 species